CCCACUUGUUGUCCUAGGAUUGGUGCACUUGUUGGCAUAGAUGGUUGACAAGUGUAGGGUUAAUAUUUAAUCUUGGAAGCUUACUUGGAUUCAUGACAAGUGUAGGACUCACCUUUAGUCUUGCAUUAGUGUGUGUGUGAGAGUUAGUGCACGAGCACCUAGUGAGUGGAGAAGCCCACCAAUUUAGCUUAGGGUUUACACAUUUGAAUUCAUUCAUCACUUUCCUCUCAAGAACCUUAAGGAAGCCACCAUUGGAGAAAAACUUGACUAGUAGCUUUGACUUCAUUUUUGGUGCCCUUUUACUCACCUUAGAACUUUGAACUUGGAAUACUUUUUGUUCCCCUCAUCCUCCUCUUCAAAACCCUUGAAGGAUCUAGCCUAACUCCUAGUUUUGCUUUGGUAUCUAGAGAUUCAAUUCUUUAGUGAGACCGAAAAUUUGGGGCAAUUUCAUUUUGGUGGUAAUUGGGAUUUUCAUUCCAAUUGAGGUACAAGACUCAAGAUUUGAAGAUUCCAUUGCUCCUUGGAUGGCUUACAGUUUCUAUGUUUUUAUUUUAUGCAAGUGUUAGCAUAAGAUGCCUCUUUGUAGCCCUAUUUGUUUAAACUUGUAUUCGUUGAUUCGUAUAUGUAAAGUGUACAUAAGUGCACUCUUUUCAAUGUAUUUAACAUGUAUGAGAUGAGGCCGGAGGCCAAUGACAUGUAUCUCGUUUUCUAUGCACUUUUGUUUUCAAAGUUUAUUAUGAAAAUAUUGGAAAAUGUUAAGU